rnacentral:rRNA from 1 species
UACGAAGGGGGCUAGCGUUGCUCGGAAUCACUGGGCGUAAAGCGCGCGUAGGCGGCUUUGCAAGUCGGGUGUGAAAUCCCCAGGCUUAACCUGGGAACUGCAUUCGAGACUGCAUUGCUAGAGUAUGGGAGAGGGAAGUGGAAUUUCCGGUGUAGCGGUGAAAUGCGUAGAUAUCGGAAGGAACAUCAGUGGCGAAAGCGAC